AAAAAAAAAAAAAAAAACAAAAAAAAAAAAAAAAAAAAAAAAAAUUUUUUUUUUUUUUUUUUUUUUUUUUUUUGUUUUUUUUUUUUUUUU
rnacentral:ribozyme from 1 species